UGCUCACAUGUACAGAAACCACACACAUACAACACUCUUACAGAACACAAACAUAUAUCUCAAAAGCCGGCCGCCCCUUUCUCGAUCUGGUUCACGAUUCGGAGUCUAUGGCCUCUGAAAUUCUUGAAAUCAAUGUAUACGGAGGCAGCAACGCAGGAGGAAGCUCCACCUCCGCCUGCUGCAGAGGAGAAGCCGCCGUAGAAGGAAGAAAAUAAGAAAGCAGACCAAGGAGAUGAAAAGAAAGCCGGCCACCCCCUUUCUCUCAGACCGUCCAAGCCGUCAUUCCUCUUUCUCUCCAAGCCUAACCCUUCUACCGAAGCCACUGAGGGUUGAGUCGACGGUCAGCGCAGCGUUAGAGCAGAGAAGAUAGCGGCACAGCUGAUUGGCGUCGAGAUUGAACAAGGAUUCACCCCUUUCUCCAAGCACUAACCCUAGUUCCCUCUCUCAUUCGAAGCCCUAAAUUCGAAGGACACGAAUUGAGGUUUGUAUUUUCAUCCCCUGUUAUAUUCAUCAAAUUAAUACUCAAAUAGGUAUGGUAUGGGAUUCGCCCCAUACUUCUAACAGAGACAGUGGUUAAUUUGUUGGGUUAUAUAUAUAUAUAUAUAUAUCUGCCGUCUUCUGCCUUUUUCUCUUGAACUUAUCUUCUCUCUAACUGAACCUUUAAAUUUUCUCUGUAGCUGUCCCGUAUCUGAAAACCCAAGCUUGGAUCCGCAGUUUAGUGUAUAAAUCAGUUUUUGUGCAAUAUAUGUGUGUUUGUGACACUGAAAUAUGACCUAUGGACUUAUUGCUAUUUUUUUUUUUUUUAAUGUUUAAACUUCGUAAAGGUCAUGACCUAGUGUAGUUCCCUCUAAUCAAAAGUGUUGGGAGGGUCGGAUGGAUCCUGAUAUGAUCUUGUGCAUUAUUUGCACAAAGUAUAUUCGAAGCUGCAUUCUCAGGAUUGGCAACCCGAGCUUAUAACACUGCACCAAGCAAUGACAGCUAUUGAAUAUGUAAUGGAGGAAUUAGUGGCAGAAAAAUCCUCCAGUAAUUUAUGUUGUUUCCUAUUAUUGACGAUUUACUGUUGCUAGAGGAAUCACUGGUGAAAAAUCCUCCUUGUUUACUAUUUUCUAUUUCUUUCCAUUCUCAUAAUUUCUUCUCCUAUGUAGAGGAGCCUCCACCAUUGUAUUGUGUAUGAAAAGAGAGAUUAUAAUGAAAGAUAUGUAGCCCUUUGGGCUCUUUGUGCCGUGGAUGUUGGCCCUAGUUGCUGAACCAUAUAAUAGCCGCGUGUUCUACUCGUUUAAUUUUUCUCUUCACAUAUAUUACGUAUAUUUUAUGUUAUAAAUAACUGCAUUAACAACUUAAAUUGUCUUACUGAGUGCAGCAUAUGAAUUUAUAUGCUCAUUUUUGUGUUUUUUGUGAUUUUCAAUUUUUUUAUCUAUCUACCACAGGUUCGUUUUUUCCAACAAUUACCUUUUCUCUCCCAUAAUUUUGCUUGUGUUUGUACUAAAAUAUCCCAAGUAUGGAUUGGCAGAAUAUUUCCAAAAUAAGUUGGUGGAUACCAUACAUUUUAUGAAAAUUCUUAACUUGAAGGACAGCGUUGAGAAGGAUACAUUCUUCCGGAAGCUCCCCAAUCUAGCAGAGCAGCUUCCAAGGCAAAUUGUGCUGAAAAAGUUACUUCCUUUAUUAGCUUCCGCCUUAGAAUUUGGUUCUGCUGCUGCCCCCGCAUUAAAUGCACUUUUGAAGAUGGGUUCUUGGCUCCCACCUGAAGAAUUUAGCACCAAGGUCUUUUAAGUUUACCCUCAUGUUGCUACAGGGUUCUCUGAUACUUCUGCUUUUCUUUGGGAAUUGACGCUCAAGUCCAUGCUUAUUCUAGCUCCUAAGCUCUCUCAACGCACUAUGGCAGGAUCUUUGUUGAAGUAUCUUUCAAAGCUUCAGGUCAAGCUAGGAUUGCGGUUGCCGUUACUUUUUUUGUUGCCGUUAUAUUUUUUGUAUGGCUUUGAACAAGUUGCAUAUAUGUAAAGGAACAGAGAGACAAA